UGGGGAAUUUUGCACAAUGGGGGAAACCCUGAUGCAGCGACGCCGCGUGGAGGAUGAAGGCCUUCGGGUUGUAAACUCCUUUUGCAGGGGACAAUGAUGAUGGUACCCUGCGAAUAAGCCACGGCUAACUCUGUGCCAGCAGCCGCGGUAAGACAGAGGUGGCAAGCGUUGUUCGGAAUCACUGGGCUUAAAGGGCGCGUAGGUGGUAGUGCAAGUCUGAGGUGGAAUCCCAUGGCUUAACCAUGGAACUGCCUUGGAAACUGCGCUACUUGAGUCAGUGAGGGGAGGGUAGAAUUCCUGGUGUAGCGGUGAAAUGCGUAGAUAUCAGGAGGAAGGCCGGUGGCGAAGGCGGCCCUCUGGCGCUGAACUGACACUGAGGCGCGAAAGCGUGGGGAGCAAACAGG
rnacentral:rRNA from 1 species